UACAGAGGGCCCGAGCGUUGUUCGGAUUCACUGGGCGUAAAGGGUGCGUAGGUGGCGAGGUAAGUCGGAUGUGAAAGCUCGGAGCUCAACUCCGAAAUGGCAUUGGAAACUACCUUGCUCGAGGGUUGGAGGGGGGACUGGAAUGCUUGGUGUAGCAGUGAAAUGCGUAGAUAUCAAGCGGAACACCAGUGGCGAAGGCGAGUCCCUGGACAACUCCUGACACUGAGGCACGAAAGCUAGGGGAGCAAACAGG
rnacentral:rRNA from 1 species